rnacentral:lncRNA from 1 species
GACUGUACUCAAGGAGAAAAAAGCCUUCGAGGUGCAAGGUGGGGAACGGGUGGGGAAGCCUGUAGAGGAAGGAGAGACUGGAUGGAUGGGGGCGGGGUGGCAGCUUCGGCUUCGAGCUCUUGACGGCAAAGUUGUUGCUCGCUGACGUGUCGCAGGAUCGAAUGCUAUCGACAUCUUGUUUCCGUUGAAUUUGCAUCCAAAACUGUCUUUUAAGCUAAUGCCAUGUCCUCCAAAUAAACCCAAAUCACCCGACAUCACCCGCUGGCCGUCAGGUGGGUGAGUUCAUCGACGCUUGGAAGGACUGCGCUGCAGGGACCUGGGACGAGGAGAAGAACUCGCUUUACUCGUGAGUUCUCGAUCUAUCCAAGGGAAAAGGGUUUUAAUUGUCGGUCGACCAUAGACUUGUCCUCGUCUUUCCGGAUGUUUGGUUGCCCCUUCGAAGCGCAUGCCGCGCAUCGGCGUUUCCAGGAUCUCUCGCCUGAUGACUCCCCAGCUUUGGACAGUUAACCGCUGUCAACUGUCUGCAUCGCCCUUGUUGCAUGCAGUCUGCGCAAAGUGGCCUCCAUGAACCACUACUUCGUGGCUUACGGAACCUGGGAGUCGUACGACGCUUACGUAGACCACUUCAUGGCCAAGCACACUCUCAAGCUACGCGAGUACGUCAAUUUCCAUUACUAUUUUAAGAUGGGGUCGGGGAAUGACUAAGGAACACGCCACUUGUCCUGGGAGGGAGGGGUAUUUUGAAUAUUUUGGCGCGCUGCUGGAGGCGCAAUCUGUCUGAAUCUGUCGGAAUACGUACCCCAGCUAGUGGUGAAGCCUGUCCUCCUCGCCAACGACGACGAAUGACGAUACGGAAGCACUUCUGUCCCUCGCUCGUGCCGCCUCCUACAUUAACUGUCCC